rnacentral:rRNA from 1 species
AGUGAACGCUGGCGGCGUGCUUAACACAUGCAAGUCGAACGAGAACGGAUUAUAGCUUGCUAUAAUUGUCAGCUAAGUGGCGCACGGGUGAGUAAUGUAUAGGUAAUAUGCCUCUUACUAAGGGAUAACAAAUGGAAACGUUUGCUAAUACCUUAUACUCCUUAUUAACAUAAGUUAAUAAGGGAAAGAUUUAUUGGUAAGAGAUUAGCCUGUAUUGUAUCAGUUAGUUGGUGGGGUAAUGGCUUACCAAGACUAUGACACAUAACUGGUUUGAGAGGAUGAUCAGUAACACUGGAUAUGCGACACGGUCCAGACUCCUACGGGAGGCAGCAGUGGGGAAUAUUGCACAAUGGACGAAAGUCUGAUGCAGCAACGCCGCGUGGAGGAUGACACAUUUCGGUGCGUAAACUCCUUUUAUAUGAGAAGAUAAUGACGGUAUUAUAUGAAUAAGCACCGGCUAACUCCGUGCCAGCAGCCGCGGUAAUAC